rnacentral:lncRNA from 1 species
CCUGGGAAACCUAGGUGGACCCGGUCUCUAGAGAAAAGUCAAAGAAAUUAGCCAGGCAUGGUGGCGUGUGCCUAUAGUCCCACCUAGUCAGGAGGCUGAGGCAGGAGGAUUGCUGGAGCCCACGAGUUCCAGGAAGCAGUGAGCCAUGAUUGCACCACUGCACUCCAGCCUGGGUGACAGAGUGAGACUUUAUCUCUUAAAAAAAUUUAAGAAAUUUAAUGUGGGUACAGUUCUAUUAACUAAAUAAUAAUGUGAACUAUUAUCUAAGGUUAUGAAGGCUAGAAUUAUCCCAUUUUUGCCUAACUUCUCGUACCUGUCCCAAGAUCCCACCUUGGACUCACCCUCUGCCUUCAGCUCACGUCUCUUCAGCUUCCUCCACAUGGUCCAGCAAACACACACCUGGGCUGAAUGGUAGAGCUGAUUGCUCAUACACAAAGGUAGACCGGUGGGCAGGGAUUUUCAGACUUACACAGUCAAUGAGUUUUCCUUGGUGUUCUGGAGAGCACCGUUUGAGAAACACUUUGACAGUGAAUCUAGGCCUCAAGAUCCAUCAGCUGCUCUAGCUUGAAUUUUGCUCAAGCUCAGUGAACACCUGCUCUGCCGGGUGCACGUGAAAGGGGCAAGGAUGAGAAAGCUGUAGAUAAAGAAGACAGGACGCAGGGGGUCUGUCUAAGCUCUAUCCCCUGCCUUCAGCACUGAGGGAUGAAAUCCAACUCUUAGGGAACGGUGGCCACGUGCUGGGCCAGCCCCAGGCUCUCAGGAUCUGACAGUGGGUGACGCAGAGCCAGGCCUUGCCCCUGGGGAGCUCUCCAGCAUACACCUCCCUCUCCCCUCCCAGCGUGCCGCAAAGCAGGCGUCAACGCCAUUGUUAAUGCACGGAGGAGGAAGCUGACUGUUAGACCUGGGUUUUCCAGGGUUGCACGGCUUCUGGGAGACGGAUGUGACCCUGAGGACAGGGCACAGGCCAGUGUAAUGCCAGGAUGGAAUGAGCUGUGAUCUGUGCUGUAUAGAGGCCUAGGCCAAGGUGGGACUGACGGAUGACCAGGUCAGCCGGGUCACUGAAAACACUCUUGGGUCCUCACCUGCCGGUUCCCAGGAGUCCGGAACUGCCAGGAGAGUGGUGGCAGGUCCCCCAUCCUCAGCUGGGUGGGCCUGGAUAGAACAGCAAGGCGAGGGCACAUUUCCCUGGCCAUUCCCUCCAGGCACAGCCGUGACCUGUUCAUUCCAAAUUUGUGGAAGUAUUUCCACACACACAGAACUGCAAAUAGCAGUGGACAUGGUGAGAGGCGUUUGCACAUGGGAUAGGCAGGAUUUUGGAGGCAGAGCCUCCAGGGCUUGCCGAUGGGUUAGCUGCAGGGCUUGAGAGGGAACGGAGAAUCCAGGAUGAUGUGUUCAAAUCGGUCCAUUCACCUCUUCCGUUCCACGCCUGUGCUGGGCACUGGGAGAGACAGAUGCACACAGGAGCCCCGGCCGAGGGGAGGUGUCGGGGGAAGCCCAGAGUGUCUGGGCAGGGUAGGAAACCCAGAGCGUCUACUGGGAGCUGAAGGCUUAGGUCCACCUGGGUGCCGUCCAGGUUCUCUGCAUGUAGAAGUAUAGGCUGAGCUUCCCGGAGGAGGAGCAGCUGCUGUUGCUGGUGACCAGCACAUUCAGGAACGGAGACUACUCUGUCAACAGACAGGGGGAUGACCUGAGGUCUGGAUGGUCUAGGGGGUGGUAGGGCCCAGGAGGACCCAGGAAAGGGUCUCGGGGAUGCAGAACAUCCUAUGGAGGGCAUUUGGGAGUCAGUGCUCAGGCCACUCCGGGUCACGCAGGUCAUUUGCCGGCCUCUGUCAUAAUUAUUGCCAUAUGAGAGUGCCACCUUUCCUGUGACAUAAUUUAGACAUUCCUGUGAAUGGCCUACCUGUUUAUAUUUACAACUUCAUGUUUAAAGGAAAUUUGUAUCACUCUCAUAAAUGGAAAGCCAGCAAAACAUAAAUUCAAUGAAAACAAAAUGAAGUCAAUGAACUUUAGCUAGAUACUAUUCCCUGACCAAGGCCUGCUGGAGGCCGUACAACCGGGGUUUGAAUUGAGAUCUGCCAAGCUUCUGAGUUUAUUCUGUUUCCCCCACACCAAGGAUCCUCAAUACUGCAUUACUGACAUCAGGGGCCAGACAAUUCUUUGCGAUGGGGGCUGUCCUGCACCUGGCAGGAUGUUUAGCAGCUUCUCUGGCCUCCACCCACUGGAUGCCAGGGGAAUGCAGAAGAGGCUUGCUUAUUCUCCCAUUUAAUGCUCAGGACAAUAUCUGACAUCAAUGUUACGUCUUUUAUUUUAUAAAUGAAGACAAUGAGACUCAGAAAGGUUUAAGUGAGUCACCUAAGAACACACAGACAGCAAGAGGUAGAACCCGAAACUGAACACAGGUGUCCACAAGACAACAAAAAAGUUCAGGUUCCAGCUUCCUUUGAGUCUCUCAUUUCAACAAUGGCCAUCAUCUGCAUACGAGCUGAAGUACAGGAAAGCUGGGCUGAACUCUCUUCCCAUCAGGCCUAGGAGCCCCAGACCAGAACCCCAGCCCAAGUUCUCCCAGUCAGGCCCGCUGGAGGGAGCUGGCAUCUACACUAGCAUGGUUUCUCAAAGCUACAGGGAUGCCAGUCUCGCUGCUGAUGAAGAAAAUGAAGGGCAUUUGCUUCUCCUGCAGGCUGUCGGGAUUUAACACAGAUUCCUUUUCUUGCUCUCUUCUCCCAUAGCACAAAACUGGGUGGUCCAUCCCCCUCCCAGUGUCCCAAGGCUUUGUUGCGUGUUCUCUUUAAUUUCUCCCACUCUCGCAGUGCACCCUACCCUCGUCUCCCUGGCAACCUUUCUGCUCUAUCCUCUCGCCACCUGGAUCACAAGAACACUUGUGAGACCCCUUAACAAGCUACAUCCCAAAUUAUCAUUCCCCUUUGUCCUCAGCCAGUGCCCGGGUCCAACUCGCUCUCCUGGGGUGACUUUCUUUCCUGCCCAAUAUGGUUUCAUCAUCUGUAAAUUGGGGAUAAUUGAAGUCUUGAUCCUGAUAUUGGGCUCUGAAAGCAGAAGUAGCAAGCUCAGCCAAGUCACUUCAACAAGAGGAGACGUUCCUUGUGAACCAAAAGGGCACUGGUCACAAGGGCCGCUCCUUCUCUCAGGCCUCUCCAGCACGCCCUUGGCUCAGCCAAAGAAGAGACUCAGGCUGUGCUUCUGUGCUGUGGGGAUAACGUAGGUACCUGGUCCUUGACCCUGGGACUUUAACAGUUCCCUCUUGUGGCUCAGUUCUACAGCUUCAAUGACACAAAGUGGCUUUUGCUCAAAAUAGCCUUUGAUAGGUUAAGGUACUCCUCUGCCACUCUAAGUCUGUGUGGAACAGACAGGGUUUUGCUUCACAGAGAAGAUGCAUAAAAUUUGGUCUUAAAAAUGAGUUCACCAUGCACACAUACACACGAAAAAAGUAAAUACUGCAUUACUGUAUAUAUGAGGUUCCAAAAUAGGCAAAACUAAUUUAUGGUGACAGAAUAGUGGUGACCUCUGAGGGUCAGUGUUGACUGGGAGAGAACAGAAGAGAGCCUACUGGGGUGCUGGAAAUGUUCUGUAUCUUAAUUUUGCAGGAUAAUUCCUUGGAUGCAUCCCUAAAAAUUCAGUCAAGCUAUAUAGUAAGAUUUGUGCAGUUUAUGUAAGUAAUAGGAGAGAUAAGAGGGGGAACCUGUGGAGAAGCAGAACAUUUCAAGAUCUAGAAAGCAACAGUUGCAAGGGUACACAGUGUUCAGACAGGGACCAAAUCAUAGAAACUACUAGGGCUUGCCAUGCUGAAAUGACUGACUUCAAACCAUAGGGCAUACGUACCUUCCACUGAAGAAGAGCACCUGAGUAAAAUGACUAGAGGUGCAUUUCAAAGAUUAUUCUAUGGGAAAUAUAAAGAACGAAUUGGAGGAGUAGGAGGCAAAUAGUCCAAGGGACAGAUACAGAUCUUUCUUUUUCUUUUUUUUUUUUUUUUGAGAUAGGGUCUCCCUCUGUCACCCUAGCUGGAGUGCAUUUCUGCGAUCAUGGCUCACUGCAGCCUCUACUUCCUGCGCUCAUGCAAUCCUUCCAUCUCAGCCUCCCAAGUAUCUGGGACUCCAGAUGUGCGGACCACACCUGGCUAAUUUUUUUAUUUUGUUGUAGUAAUGGGAAUCUCACUGUUGUUUCCCAGGCUGGUCUUGAACUCCUGAACUCAGGCAAUCUUCUGGCCUUAACCUCUCAAAGUGCUGGGAUUACAGGUAUGGGCUACAGUGCCUGGCCUUAUUAAAAUGUUGAUGUAAUAAAUGGGACUACCUAGUGCUGUGCUUUCUCCUUAAAGGAGAGAGCUGACAGAAUAAAACUAGCAGUAAUAAUCUGGUAAAUUGUGCUUUCUACAGAGUAAAUUUUGUUUGUCUCAUGACAUUUAUGCAAAUAUUCAAAUGUUUCAGGAAUAUAAACAUUUAAAAUUUGGGUUAUAAAUAAUGCCUCCUGGCUCUGAAAUUAUCUGAAUUCAUGAAGCAAUCAGUAGUAAAUAUGAAGGAAAAAUGAAACACAGCCUUAUAUGCAAGGACAAACACAAAUUUCUAAUUCUUGUUAUAAUUUGGGUGCCCACCUGGUUUUGAAGGUGAGCCUUGGUCUGACUGGUUCUGAGACAUUUCUCUCAAAUAGCAAAUGAGUAGUGGGUAUGAAUAGGGUACAUUGGAAAGUCAUGUCAAAAUUCCAUGUAAUUUUUGGAGCGUUUUUUCUCCCAUAUGAUUUAUAUAAUUUGACAUGUGUAUUCCUAUGUAAAAUAUUUAACCACUUCUCUACAAUAAGCAUUAAGUGGGCUCAUUAGUAUGCUCUUCUUAUUCCAUAUUUCUGUGAUUUCUCUUAUCUGGAACGACUUUUUUAUGCCACCCAGGCUGGAGUGCAGUGGCACAUUUACUGCUCACUGCAGCCUCAACUCCCCAGGGUCAAGCCAUCCUCCUAUUUCAGCUUCCCUAGCAGCUAGGACUACAGGUGUGCACCACUAUGCCCUGCUAAUUUUUGUGUUUUUUUGUAGAGACGGGGUUUUGCUAUGUUGCCCCGGCUGGUCUUGAACUCCUGAGCUCAAGAGAUCCACCCACCGCAACCUCCCAAAGUGUUGGGAUUACAGGCGUGAGCCACUGCACUCAGCUUCUUUUCUAAUUUGUUUUUAUUCUGAGAUCAGAUGAGAUCAGCAUGUUCAGAGCCCAGACUGUGAACCUGCACUCCCUGGAGGAAUGGCUGAUUCCAAGUGUGGGGAAAAUGUACAAGAUAAGCAUAGAACACCAGUUUCCUUAUUUUGCUCUCUCGUACAACACCAGACAAUGUGCUCAUGUCAAAAGGACUCAGAACCCAACAUGAAGAUGCACCCAGCAUUCACUGCACCCAGCAUUCAACGAAGGGAAAAAACGAGCACCAAUAAAAAUAACUGCUAGGUGCGGUGGCUCACGCCUAUCAUCCCAACACUUUGGGAGGCAGAGGCAGGUGGAUUGCUUUUGAGCUCAGGAUUUGAAGACCAGCCUGGUGAACACGGCAAAACCCCGUCUCUACCAGAAACACAAAAAUUAGCUGGGCAUGAUGGUGUACCUGUGGUCCCAGCUACUCAAGAGGGUGAGGUGGGAGGAUUGCUGGAGGUCGGGACGUCAAGCCUGCAGUGGGCAGCGAUCAUACCACUGCACUACAGCUUGGGUGACAGAGUUAAGACCCUGCCUCAAAACAAUAAAUGAAUAAAUAAAAAUAAAAUAAAAAUAAC